AAAUUUUCUACAAUUGACAUUUGGGAAAGUGUUUGAAUGAAUUUGGUUAGGAUAAACCAGGGAUUCCAGUUGGGUUGCGGUUGCGUCUAGUGGGAUGGUAGACUGCCUACGUACCCUUGACAGAAUCAAACCGACGUAGUUCCAAAAUUUGGUUAUUAAUGUGCGUGGUUUUGUACCACUUGGGUCUUCACUUGACUAUCUAGGAAUUAAUGGGCAUUUUUGGAAUUUAAGCCCAUUGAUCCAUAAUUUGUGGACUUGAGACUUUGCACCAAUUGUUCACCAACUGGAUUGUUUUCAAUGGACAAGUCCGUUGGACUUGAGAUUUGUGAUGAACGAGUCCAUUGUAUUUGAGGUUGCCAAAUCUUAGAAUAUUGGCUUGGGACUGUUUCAUGUUGAGAGAGAGAUGCACAACAGCCUUUAACUGGUCCCAAUUAAUUUUGAAUUGGAGUAUUGCCUUUGCUAAGCCAAUUUGAGAGUUGUGGCUUUGUUGGUCUCAUAUCUAACUGACAUCUUGUGACUUGGUGACAAAAAACAAGUAUGCAUUUACCGCAAACAUAUGUCCCAUAAUUUGAUUAGGACACCCAAUAUAAUUGCUUGAACCAACUACUUUCUCUUUGCUGGAUAGGAACUCCCAAACCAUUAAAGAAACAAACCCGUCCAAAUAGGAUUUGAGAAUUCAUGCUUCUUAAUACUUUUGCAGAUGGCAUUGGAGAUUUGCUUUGUGGUUAAAGACCCGAGCGUGAAGGAGCUCCAGAGAUGCUUUGUUUCAGAUGCAAAUUUUUUUCUUAAUUGGUGGUGAGUCAAAAUGGCUCUCAUCGCCUUGAAUUGAAGUUGCCAGCUUCAUUUUUGUUGUUGUUGUUGUUGAGACUUUAGCUUGCUUUGCAUCAAAACCCUUUUUUUGUUUGUUUUGCUUCUGUAGCGUUAUAGCCCCAGAAAUUGAUUUCACAUAAAUUUGUUUCUAACCUGAAGAAGAGCAAAGCUUUCUUCAUUGUUCUUUUUUCGGUGACAGAGUCCUUGAAUUUUGAUUCAAGGCUUUGCUUUUGAUUCAAAGCCAAAAGUCAUCACGUGGUGGGCCGCCUUGGAUUUUCAGCCAACAACAUUGGCUUGUAAAAUCCCUUCCUGAUGGUGUUAGAGGUGAGUCCUUGACUUCAAGGACCUGUUAGCUUGCCACAUGCUAAUAUAAGAAUAAGUCAUCUUGCUUUGUUUCUUUCCUUUUUUGUACUUUCAUGUGCCACCACAUCCCUCUUCUAUUUUUCUCCUUCACAAGGAAGGCUUUGUUCUAGACUCCGUGAUGGAAUCACCACAUCAUUGUCCAUUCCUGCUUUGCUUUUUGCUUGCAGCCAAGUCAGACUUGGAGUUGUGACUUUCCCUUGUGACGGGUGUUGAGGCCCAAAAAAUCCAAGGCUAUGUCCAAAUAUAUUCCCGCCCCAAUGCGAUACAUUACCGAGAAGAAACCCGAUUUGGGCAAGCGAAAGUUUGUCAUAUGUGCUUGCACACAUACCACGCCAAGCAAAUAAGUAACACGCCAUGCUACAAGCUUAAAUGGGCCCAAGCCACGCAAAAUGGUCUGAGCUUGCUUGAGUGGGUUGUGGUAUGGAUGGUAAUAAGUUGACAUGAGGCCCAUUGAUGGGCCGAGAAAUGGAAGUCAUGGGGUUGCUUGGGAGACUCAAAACUCAAGCUCAUUUCUUAGGCCCAAACAUGUGGGUGAGCACAAAAGAGAAAAUAAUCCAUUACUUCAACCAAAAUAGCCCAUUAACUCAACCAAAAUAGCCCAACACUUGAUGAAGUUAGCCCAUUUACUUGAUAAACCAAUUUAUUGUCCUAGAAGGUCCAAGCAACCCAAGAAAAUAUCUGCAAAAUCUCCAGCACCUAGCUGAAAACAAAAGCCACGAUAAAAGCCAAAAUAUCCAUAUGUGUAAGCCACUGGGAAGCUCCAACACAUGAUAGGGGAGCAAGUUUCAAGCAAAAAACAACCAAAGGACCAAGGGAUAUUGGCGCGCAGACUGCAAUGAGGGGAAUCACCCUUUGAACCAGCAUGCAUACUCAUUUCUUUCCCUCAUCAGACCUAGCCAUGAAAGAAGGAAUGACAGAAAGAAAAGGGGAUGGCUGAAAAUAGGAGUUUUCCACUAAAGUGGCUACGGGAAGAGCAUUGAGCUCCCAAAAUCCCUGAUUUUGUGCAAAUGAGCAGAGUGGAUUUCACCAAAAUAGGAUGAUUGAAGGGAUGAGGGGAGAAAGGAAGGGAAAGACUUGGCCAAAUUGGAUAGGAGCCAUUAGGGUUUCUUGGAAAAAGAUAGCUUUCAGCGGCUAUAAAAGAGGCCUCUUCUACCCAACAAGCAAAACACACACAUUCAGAUAGCAAGCUUCAUCUCUCAUAUCUGAAACCUCUGCAAUUUCGAGCCCCAUCCUUCCAUCUCUCCCCAUUUUCCCUAUUGGUAAACUUUUCCAAAGUUUGACAGAGUUUUUGUCGAGCUGCCGGAAACUACCCAGCACACCCACUACUUCAUCACUAGCUAAAACAACCAUAUCCAAAGAGUAAGCUUCCUCUCUCACCUGCAAAACCCAGCAAAUUCGUGCUCUAUUCAUCCUUUUCCCCCAAGAGCACUUAGUUUUCUCUUCAGUACUAAAUUCAUGAUAAUUUUGCUCCCAUGCCACAAGCCUCUCAUGCCAAGCUAAAAAAUUUAUUUGUAAGCUAUUGUUAUUUUUGUUGGUGAAAGUAACCAAGGUGUUUCCUAAGGCCCUACUGUCCUUUCGAAGCAUUCUUGGGCUUGAUCUCUGAACCCAGGCACAGGGGAUAACUUCAUUAGUUCGCUCCUUACGGCAGCCCAUCAUUUGUAGCUGCCGGAAGAAAAAAGCCCCUAGAACGGGUUUGAGAUGGUUUCCACCAUCAUAUGAGAUCAAUCCUUCCAGAUAAUUUUGGGUGCUUUACACAUCGCAAUAACAUGUUUUGGAUGCUUUAAACAUCACCAAGAGAGAGGCCUUACAGUGGAUUUGUGAAGGUUUGCUCUGUAUUUUUUGUAUAGUAGGAGCCAUGAGAGCAUACUUUGCUCCAGUGUUGUUGCUUUUCUCUGCGUUGCGUGACUCCUCUCCUCCUUCGGCUGUUCCCCUUUUUUCAGGCCUCUUAUCGGCUAUUCUUCCUUUGAUGCUUUUGUGUGGCUUUGGAUGCUCAAGGCAUCUUUCUGUGAGAGAAAUCUCACUGUCUUGCUGCCUAUAAAAACAAAUAACAAAGAAAUUCAUAUAGAAUUUCUUUAUAUCGUGCUUUUCUGCUCUUGGUAGAAAUAUGUCAACCAUUCCCUUGCUCUUGUAUCCUCCCUCUUUAUUUUUGUAUCUCCCUACAGCCUGCCGGCUGCCCCAUUUUUCUUUUCUCUCCUCCUUUUUGUAGAGUUCUAGAGAGAGAGAUUUGAGAUGGAAGAAUUCCCCUUCAAAUUGGAUUCCUCCUCCCCUUUUAUUUUCC
rnacentral:lncRNA from 1 species